UAGGGAAUCUUCGGCAAUGGACGAAAGUCUGACCGAGCAACGCCGCGUGAGUGAAGAAGGUUUUCGGAUCGUAAAACUCUGUUGUUAGAGAAGAACAAGGACGUUAGUAACUGAACGUCCCCUGACGGUAUCUAACCAGAAAGCCACGGCUAACUACGUGCCAGCAGCCGCGGUAAUACGUAGGUGGCAAGCGUUGUCCGGAUUUAUUGGGCGUAAAGCGAGCGCAGGCGGUUUCUUAAGUCUGAUGUGAAAGCCCCCGGCUCAACCGGGGAGGGUCAUUGGAAACUGGGAGACUUGAGUGCAGAAGAGGAGAGUGGAAUUCCAUGUGUAGCGGUGAAAUGCGUAGAUAUAUGGAGGAACACCAGUGGCGAAGGCGGCUCUCUGGUCUGUAACUGACGCUGAGGCUCGUAAGCGUGGGGAGCAAACAGG
rnacentral:rRNA from 1 species